CAGGACUACUCAUAAUCUUUGUCUUCUUCGUCAUCUGGCUUGAAAGCUGGCAUUUGAUUACAAGAAUAUGCAGCGAUCAUUCGUGUAACAUGCAAGCUGAAGAAUCGGUCAUAUUGAACGAGUCCACCAGACUUAGCUGACGUAGAAGAAGAAUUGCAGUCAUUAUUAUUUAGUAUUGCGCCAGCUUCUAAUUUUUUUUCAUUGCUCUGGUCACAAAUAGGUCGGCUGAUGGAAGAAAAAACAAUACAGCAUUAGACGGAUGUAUAAACGAUUGAUUGGAUGAUGCAGGAUUUAGCGGAAGGGUAAAAAUAAAAAAUAUAAGCAAUAUUUAUAAUAAUAAUAACCUGGUCACGAAGAGAAAAAAGUCGUAUGAGAGAUCUUCAAAUCGGUCUUUAUUUUCUAGUAACCAAUUGCUCAGGUAGUGUAAGCUUGCAUUGGAAUGAUAACAGGAUGUUUCCCAUAGAGGCAUUUUCUGUGUUUCCGCGAUCAUCUGUGUAACAUGCAAUUUUGCAUUCCAAUUGCCAUAAUAAAGGAGUCCGCCCGAUGGAUAACCCGAAGUAUCUUUGUUUAUGCAAUCUAUAUUUUUCGGAAUAUAAUAUGCAGGCCCGUCCAAUGAUCCAUUAUAUGUAGCACAUAAUUGUUUCCUUAUAGACAAAACAAAUAGUUAUAUGUUAA